AAGAAAGCUUGCUUUCUUUGCUGGCGACCGGCGCACGGGUGAGUAACACGUAUCCAACCUACCCUUUACUCGGGAUAGCCUUUCGAAAGAAAGAUUAAUACCCGAUAGCAUAAUGAUUCCGCAUGGUUUCAUUAUUAAAGGAUUCCGGUAAAGGAUGGGGAUGCGUUCCAUUAGGUUGUUGGUGGGGUAACGGCCCACCAAGCCUUCGAUGGAUAGGGGUUCUGAGAGGAAGGUCCCCCACAUUGGAACUGAGACACGGUCCAAACUCCUACGGGAGGCAGCAUG
rnacentral:rRNA from 1 species